rnacentral:rRNA from 1 species
UUCCGGUUGAUCCUGCCAGAGGCCAUUGCUAUCGGAGUCCGAUUUAGCCAUGCUAGUUGCACGGGUUUAGACCCGUGGCGAAAAGCUCAGUAACACGUGGCCAAGCUACCCUGUGGACCGGAAUAACCUCGGGAAACUGAGGACAAUUCCGGAUAACGCUCCCCUAUUGGAAUAUGGGGAGCCGGAAACGUUCAGGCGCCACAGGAUGCGGCUGCGGCCGAUUAGGUAGACGGUGGGGUAACGGCCCACCGUGCCCAUAAUCGGUACGGGUUGUGAGAGCAAGAGCCCGGAGACGGAAUCUGAGACAAGAUUCCGGGCCCUACGGGGCGCAGCAGGCGCGAAACCUUUACACUGCACGACAGUGCGAUAGGGGGACUCCGAGUGCGAGGGCAUAGAGCCCUCGCUUUUCUGUACCGUAAGGUGGUACAGGAAGAAGGGCUGGGCAAGACCGGUGCCAGCCGCCGCGGUAAUACCGGCAGCCCAAGUGAUGGCCGAUAUUAUUGGGCCUAAAGCGUCCGUAGCUGGCCGGACAAGUCCGUUGGGAAAUCCGCAUGCUUAACGUGCGGGCGUCCAGCGGAAACUGUCCGGCUUGGGACCGGAAGACCCGAGGGGUACGUCCGGGGUAGGAGUGAAAUCCUGUAAUCUCGGACGGACCACCUGUGGCGAAAGCGCCUCGGGAAGACGGAUCCGACAGUGAGGGACGAAAGCCAGGGUCUCGAACCGGAUUAGAUACCCGGGUAGUCCUGGCCGUAAACGAUGUCCGCUAAGUGGUGACGCAAGGCUACGAACCCUGCGUUUGUGCCCGUA